AUUGAACGCUGGCGGCAUGCCUUACACAUGCAAGUCGAACGGUAACGGGCCUUCGGGUGCCGACGAGUGGCGAACGGGUGAGUAAUGUAUCGGAACGUACCUUUCAGUGGGGGAUAACGUAGCGAAAGUUACGCUAAUACCGCAUAUUCUGUGAGCAGGAAAGCAGGGGAUCGCAAGACCUUGCGCUGAUUGAGCGGCCGAUAUCAGAUUAGCUAGUUGGUGAGGUAAAGGCUCACCAAGGCGACGAUCUGUAGCGGGUCUGAGAGGAUGAUCCGCCACAAUGGAACUGAGACACGGUCCAGACUCCUACGGGAGGCAGCAGUGGGGAAUUUUGGACAAUGGGGGCAACCCUGAUCCAGCCAUGCCGCGUGAGUGAAGAAGGCCUUCGGGUUGUAAAGCUCUUUCGGCCGGGAAGAAAUCGCACGGGCUAAUACCCUGUGUGGAUGACGGUACCGGAAUAAGAAGCACCGGCUAACUACGUGCCAGCCGCCGCCGUAAUAC
rnacentral:rRNA from 1 species